GACGAACGCUGGCGGCGUGCUUAACACAUGCAAGUCGAACGGAAAGGCCCUGCUUGCAGGGUACUCGAGUGGCGAACGGGUGAGUAACACGUGGGUGAUCUGCCCUGCACUUCGGGAUAAGCCUGGGAAACUGGGUCUAAUACCGGAUAGGAGCCAUUUUUAGUGUGAUGGUUGGAAAGUUUUUUCGGUGUAGGGUGAGCUCGCGGCCUAUCAGCUUGUUGGUGGGGUAAUGGCCUUCCAAGGCGGCGACGGGUAGCCGGCCUGAGAGGGUGGACGGCCACAUUGGGACUGAGAUACGGCCCAGACUCCUACGGGAGGCAGCAGUGGGGAAUAUUGCACAAUGGGCGCAAGCCUGAUGCAGCGACGCCGCGUGGGGGAUGACGGCCUUCGGGUUGUAAACUCCUUUCGCUAGGGACGAAGCUUUUUGUGACGGUACCUAGAUAAGAAGCACCGGCUAACUACGUG
rnacentral:rRNA from 1 species